rnacentral:rRNA from 1 species
AGGAUGAACGCUAGCGGCAGGCCUAAUACAUGCAAGUCGGACGGGAUUCGGGAGCUUGCUCCCGAUGAGAGUGGCGCACGGGUGCGUAACACGUAUGUAACCUACCCUUAUCAGGGGGAUAGCCUCUCGAAAGAGAGAUUAAGCCCGCAUAACAUCACGAUGCAGCAUUGUAAUGUGAUCAAAUAUUUAUAGGAUAAGGAUGGGCAUGCGGAACAUUAGCUAGUUGGUAAGGUAACGGCUUACCAAGGCGACGACGGGUAG